AAUUCCUUCUUGGUAGAGUGAGAAGAGGUCUGAAUGAAAUUUUAGAGGAUGGCUGGAAAGUGGAAACAACAAAACAUACAAAGCAGUAUGAUUCUAAUUCCUGUGGAGUGUAUGUUGUAAAGUUUGCUGAGCUGAUCAUAUCUGAUUUGCCUCUAACAUUUAGUUGUCGUCCAGAUAAUCUGUAUCAAAUUAGACAAGGAAUUGGGAACCAGCUUUUGCAAGCAACAGAACCACUGUUUGAGUACUGCUGGGCAUGCAGUCUUCAUAGAGAAGCAAGACGAAAUGAGGAUUGGGUAUGAU